CCAAUAAUGGUUACUACAUAUUUUCCGAGAAGUAUUAUUUUUGAUUGAAAGAGCAUUGCAUAAAGUAGGUGGGGAACAGCACAUCAUUACCCCCACCUUUCAAGAAUUGUCCCAAUUCUUCAAGAAAAAAUUACAGAUGGGCCAUACAAGGCUUUCUGGCGGGGAAGUACAGAUCUUCGCACACGCCGCAUUGAAACUGCAAAUAGACAAAAGGAUACCCUUUUUACUGAGUACCAAAAAUCAAGUCAACUGGUAACCUCAGUUCUCUACCAAUAUGUAACAUGGCUGGUGUGAACCCUGUUGAUGCUUGAACCGAAGACCGGUAGGCAAGCAUAACUAAAUCAACAUGUUCAUCCCAG